AUUGAACGCUGGCGGAAUGCUUUACACAUGCAAGUCGAACGGCAGCACGGACUUCGGUCUGGUGGCGAGUGGCGAACGGGUGAGUAAUGUAUCGGAACGUGCCCAGUCGUGGGGGAUAACGUAGUGAAAAUCACGCUAAUACCGCAUACGAUCUAUGGAUGAAAGCGGGGGAUCGCAAGACCUUGCGCGAUUGGAGCGGCCGAUAUCGGAUUAGGUAGUUGGUGGGGUAAAGGCCCACCAAGCCAACGAUCUGUAGCUGGUCUGAGAGGACGACCAGCCACACUGGAACUGAGACACGGUCCAGACUCCUACGGGAGGCAGCAGUGGGGAAUUUUGGACAAUGGGCGAAAGCCUGAUCCAGCCAUUCCGCGUGCAGGAUGAAGGCCCUCGGGUUGUAAACUGCUUUUGUACAGAACGAAAAGGUUUCUACUAAUACUAGGAGCUCAUGACGGUACUGUAAGAAUAAGCACCGGCUAACUACGUGCCAGCCGCCGCUGUAA
rnacentral:rRNA from 1 species